ACACGUGCUACAAUGGCCGGUACAGACGGACGCAAAGCCGCGAGGCGGAGCAAAUCCGAAAAAGACCGGUCUCAGUUCGGAUUGCAGGACUGCAAUUCGCCUGCAUGAAGUCGGAAUCGCUAGUAAUCGCAGGUCAGCAUACUGCGGUGAAUACGUUCCCGGGCCUU
rnacentral:rRNA from 1 species